CGCGAGGACCUUACCUGGGCUCGAACGCGGGGGGGAUGUGCCGGAAACGGUACAGCCAGCAAUGGCCGCCCGCGAUGUGCUGCAUGGUUGUCGUCAGCUCGUGCCGUGAUGUGUCGGGUUAAGUCCCAUAACGAGCGCAACCCCUACCGCCAGUUGCCAGCGGGUAAAGCCGGGGACUCUGGCGGGACUGCCGGCGUAAGCCGAGAGGAAGGCGGGGAUGACGUCAAAUCAGCACGGCCCUUACGUCCAGGGCUACACACGUGUUACAAUGGCCGGUACAGAGGGAGGCGACCCCGCGAGGGGGAGCGGAUCCCGAAAGCCGGUCGUAGUUCGGAUCGGAGUCUGGAACCCGACUCCGUGAAGCCGGAUUCGCUAGUAAUCGCGCAUCAGCCAUGGCGCGGUGAAUACGUUCCCGGG
rnacentral:rRNA from 1 species